AAAUGAUAAUCCUAAAAGGAAGCAAACCAAAGUGUAAGCAGUCAAUGCAGAGUUAACCUUGUAAAAUCUUGUAUAUAGGUUUAGGAAUACUGCAGAAAUUUACAAGCUCUACUGGACAUCAUAGUUGAAGAGUCCCAUCAGUGGCAGAAAUAGAAAGAGCUUUUCUUUAUCAUCUAACACACACAUUGAACUCUCAACAAGAUACUGCAUAAAUCUCUGCAACCUACGUAGAAAAAUGUCUUCCGAUCUUACGAAAGUCAACCUGUUCCUGACAACAGCCUUGCUCGUGUUAGUAGUAGAUCUGUGCGCUUUAGAUCGUAGGAAAAGAGACACUAUGUCAGAUGAAUUCCUAGAGUAUUCCAGAUUACAACGCAGACGACCCCAGCACGUCCAACUACGAAGUAGAAGGCGUUAUGAAGAACACAGACAGGAACUAGAAACAAUUUUAUCUCCAUUACCAGAGUACCAGUCCACAGAAAAUAAGCCAGAAAGAUAUUUUUAUUCAUCAAAUUCAAUCAACUCAAAUGAACAUGACAUC
rnacentral:sRNA from 1 species